ACGCUCGACACCUACGGGGGCAGCAGUGGGGAAUAUUGGGCAAUGGAGGCAACUCUGACCCAGCAAUGCCGCGUGAAUGAUGAAGGUCUUCGGAUUGUAAAGUUCUGUGACGGGGGACGAACACAAUGACGGUACCCCGAUAGCAAGCCACGGCUAACUACGUGCCCGCAGCCGCGGUAAUCUGAGCGGGCUGGCAAGGC
rnacentral:rRNA from 1 species